rnacentral:rRNA from 1 species
UACGUAGGAGGCGAGCGUUGUCCGGAGUUACUGGGCGUAAAGGGCGCGUAGGCGGCUUUUCAAGUGACGGGUGAAAUCCCUCGGCUUAACCGAGGAACUGCCUGUCAGACUGGAAGGCUUGAGACCGGGAGAGGUGAGUGGAAUUCCCAGUGUAGCGGUGAAAUGCGUAGAUAUUGGGAGGAACACCAGUGGCGAAGGCGGCUCACUGGACCGGAACUGACGCUGAGGCGCGAAAGCGUGGGGAGCAAACAGG